UAGUAAUGGCAGGUCAGCAUACUGCCGUGAAUACGUUCCCGGGCCUUGUACACACCGCCCGUCACACCAUGAGAGUUGGGAAUACCCGAAGCCUGUGAGCUAACUUAUAGAGGCAGCAGUCGAAGGUAGAAUCAAUGAUUGGGUGAAGUCGUAACAAGGUAGC
rnacentral:rRNA from 1 species